UUGCUUGAGUGGAAACUGUCAGCAACAUCAGCGCAUCCAAUUGUCAAUUAGCCAAGGUGCAAGAAAUUAAAUUAAAAACCGCAGAAAACAGCGAAGAAAUCAACAACGAACAAAUAAAAAAGAGGGUGUGACUCCACCUUGAAGAUUGAAUAUAUUUUUGUGCUUGGCUAUUUUCUAAACUUAUUUCGUUAAUGCACUUCCAAACACACAAUAAAUUCAUAAAACUGCUCCAGAAGAGUAUAGAAAGGGGAGAUGGAACCCUAGACACUCGAAGGACACUCAUCAAGGAGCAAGGACAGGACCACGCCCAGCUGUCUCAACAGUCUAGAGCAAAUUAAUUUGUCGAGUGUCCGUUGCAGCCAGAGAGCCUUGAAACGAAGGCCACUCUGAAGGUGCAUCAAUGAGUUGGCAAUGUGGAAAGGAUUUUCCUAUUUUCCCCAUCCUCCCCAUCUACUAUUUCCCCCUUCCUUUUCCACCCCACCACAUUGUGGAAAAAUCUUUCAGCGGAAAUCUCAAUCUGCGCUUGAGCAAAUUGUUGUUUAAAUAAAAAUUUAAAGCAAAUUGCUACGCGGAA